rnacentral:rRNA from 1 species
GAACGCUGGCGGCGAUGCCUUACACAUGCAAGUCGAACGGCAGCACGGGAGCAAUCCUGGUGGCGAGUGGCGAACGGGUGAGUAAUAUAUCGGAACGUGCCCAGUCGUGGGGGAUAACGUAGCGAAAGCUACGCUAAUACCGCAUACGAUCUACGGAUGAAAGCGGGGGAUCGCAAGACCUCGCGCGAUUGGAGCGGCCGAUAUCAGAUUAGGUAGUUGGGUGAGGUAAAGGCUCACCAAGCCGACGAUCUGUAGCUGGUCUGAGAGGACGACCAGCCACACUGGGACUGAGACACGGCCCAGACUCCUACGGGAGGCAGCAGUGGGAAUAUUGGACAAUGGGCGAAAGCCUGAUCCAGCCAUGCCGCGUGUGUGAAGAAGGUCUUCGGAUUGUAAAGCACUUUAAGUUGGGAGGAAGGGCAGUAAGUUAAUACCUUGCUGUUUUGACGUUACCAACAGAAUAAGCACCGGCUAACUUCGUG